rnacentral:rRNA from 1 species
AUUGAACGCUGGCGGCAUGCCUUACGCAUGCAAGUCGAACGGUAACAGGUCUUCGGAUGCUGACGAGUGGCGAACGGGUGAGUAAUACAUCGGAACGUGCCUAGUAGUGGGGGAUAACUACUCGAAAGAGUGGCUAAUACCGCAUGAGAUCUACGGAUGAAAGCAGGGGGUCGCAAGACCUUGUGCUACUAGAGCGGCCGAUGGCAGAUUAGGUAGUUGGUGGGAUAAAAGCUUACCAAGCCGACGAUCUGUAGCUGGUCUGAGAGGACGAUCAGCCACACUGGGACUGAGACACGGCCCAGACUCCUACGGGAGGCAGCAGUGGGGAAUUUUGGACAAUGGGCGAAAGCCUGAUCCAGCAAUGCCGCGUGCAGGAUGAAGGCCUUCGGGUUGUAAACUGCUUUUGUACGGAACGAAAAGCCCCGGGUUAAUACCCUGGGGUCAUGACGGUACCGUAAGAAUAAGCACCGGCUAACUACGUGCCAGCCGCCGCAGUAA